ACGCAAUUGAAUAUUCCAGCAAGUUUGUAUAUAAAAUGGUUUUAGUAACAACAUAUUAGAGCCAUAGCAAGCCUUGUGUUAGGUAUAUCUUAGGAAAUUAAGAUGGCGAGAGAGUUCAUAGUUCAUGAAGGUAGCGUCCCUUCAGAAGCAGGCUUCCUGCUUGAUUCCUCUGAGGCUUUUCUGUUGUUAUGCAUGAUUGUUGUUUCCUUAUCAAUUAUUUCAAUGGUCAUAUUGGCUUGUGGUGAUAGUAGUUCAGGUGGACAUGGUGGAGGUAGAGGCCACCACAGUCGGGGGGGCUUUCCUGGAGCUAGUGGAGGUGGUUGUGGUGGAGGAGGUGGAGGAGGAUGUUAAGAACUUUAGUGGAGUUAUUUCUACGGAAAAAAAUUAAGAUUUCUCAUGCUCUUUGAGCAUUAUUGUUAGCUUUCAUUUAUUUAUUUAAUAAAGUUUCUCAUGCCAUUUUACACAU